GGGCACAUGGUGUAGUUAUCACAUCCGCUUAGCAUGGGAGGUGUCAAUGUUUGUGCGGGGGUGCUGGGUUCAAUUCCCACUGUGUCCA